rnacentral:rRNA from 1 species
GAUGAACGCUGGCGGCGUGCCUAAUACAUGCAAGUCGAACGGAGAGUAGCAAUACUCUUAGUGGCGAACGGGUGAGUAACGCGUUGGUACCUGCCCCGAAGCGGGGGAUAACGGACCGAAAGGUCCGCUAAUACCCCAUGUGCUCGGUAACGAGUAAAGGUGAAAACCACUUUGGGAGGGGCCUGCGUCCCAUCAGCUAGUUGGUAAGGUAACGGCUUACCAAGGCGAUGACGGGUAGGGGACCUGAGAGGGUGGCCCCCCACAAUGGAACUGAAACACGGUCCAUACACCUACGGGUGGCAGCAGUAGGGAAUAUUGGUAAUGGGCGCAAGCCUGAACCAGCAACGCCGCGUGUGCGAUGACGGCCUUCGGGUUGUAAAGCACUUUUGACUGGGACGAGGAAGGACGGUACCGGUCGAAUCAGCCUCGGCUAACUACGUG